rnacentral:lncRNA from 1 species
AAGGUGGUUACUUAAUUAGGACCUUACUCUCUGAGUAAGGGGAGCCUCCCACCUGCUUACCUGGCCAAUUAUUCGAUUACCUCUUAUGAAGAGCUCAAGUUGCAAACACUAAGACCUGAUUAACCAAUAUUAAGUCAAUAGGUCUUCCACUGUAGUAGAGCUGCUAAGGUCUUUCUGAUGUUGAUUUGUCUCGGCUGGA